rnacentral:lncRNA from 1 species
UCUGAAGCAAGGUAUUCUGUAGGAGCAAAAGCAUCUUCUACCGCUUCUGCCCCCGGGAGAGAGAACUCCUAAACUCAACCUAAGGCAGCCUUUCCUUUCUCUUAAAAGCGAUACCACCUAAUUCAAGAAAGGCCAAUAGCAGCUGAUGAAACUAUAGCACGAAAAGCUACCUCCUCUUCCCCUCCUACUGUCUAGCUGCCAUCCCGCUACUUCUAGUGAAGACGAUUCUCUUAUGCAGACGAUUUGCUUAAUCAAGAGCAAACAACCGAUUCUAUAACAGCUUCUUCUUUCAAAGGCAAGGAAAGCCUAAACCGUCAUUGUGUUCGUGCCUGACUUCUCUGUCCUGCUUCCUCUGUUAAUGAAAUCUCUCUUUCGCCUUAUCCUGAUCUGAUCUUUCCAGGUAUUCAAUCGACAACCUCUCUGAGCUAAGAGAAUGAAAUUAGGCUUCCUCCCCGAUGGACAUGAAAAAGAAAUUGCUCUUUCCCCAUGUCAGUUGCUUGCCUUGCUACUGCUAUGCUUCCUUCCUCCAACUCUGUCACUCCUUUUCAUUGGAGGCCGAAGGACUGUUACUUUCUUAUCUAAAACCUAUUCUCUAAAAAAACAACCUAUUCUUUAAGAUUCACUGUCAAACAGCUUAUUUUUCUAUUGAAUAAGGAAGGAUUGGCUUCAUUCCCCUGAUCUUCCUCAAAUCUCACACUCNNNN